AUUGAACGCUGGCGGAAUGCUUUACACAUGCAAGUCGAACGGCAGCACGGGGGCAACCCUGGUGGCGAGUGGCGAACGGGUGAGUAAUACAUCGGAACGUGCCCAGUCGUGGGGGAUAACGUAGCGAAAGUUACGCUAAUACCGCAUACGAUCUACGGAUGAAAGCGGGGGACCGUAAGGCCUCGCGCGAUUGGAGCGGCCGAUGUCAGAUUAGGUAGUUGGUGAGGUAAAGGCUCACCAGGCCGACGAUCUGUAGCUGGUCUGAGAGGACGACCAGCCACACUGGGACUGAGACACGGCCCAGACUCCGACGGGAGGCAGCAGUGGGGAAUUUUGGACAAUGGGCGCAAGCCUGAUCCAGCCAUUCCGCGUGCAGGACGAAGGCCUUCGGGUUGUAAACUGCUUUUGUACGGAACGAAAAGGCUCUGGUUAAUACCUGGGGCUCAUGACGGUACCGUAAGAAUAAGCACCGGCUAACUGCGUGCCAGCCGCCGCCGUAA
rnacentral:rRNA from 1 species